rnacentral:rRNA from 1 species
AGCAUCCUACGGGAGGCAGCAGUGGGGAAUAUUGCACAAUGGGCGCAAGCCUGAUGCAGCCAUGCCGCGUGUAUGAAGAAGGCCUUCGGGUUGUAAAGUACUUUCAGCAGUGAGGAAGGUGGGUAUGUUAAUAGCAUACUCAUUUGACGUUAGCUGCAGAAGAAGCACCGGCUAACUCCGUGCCAGCAGCCGCGGUAAUACGGAGGGUGCGAGCGUUAAUCGGAAUUACUGGGCGUAAAAGCGCAUGCAGGUGGUUUGUUAAGUCAGAUGUGAAAGCCCGGGGCUCAACCUCGGAAUUGCAUUUGAAACUGGCAAACUAGAGUACUGUAGAGGGGGUAGAAUUUCAGGUGUAGCGGUGAAAAUGCGUAGAGAUCUGAAGGAAUACCGGUGGCGAAGGCGGCCCCCUGGACAGAUACUGACACUCAGAUGCGAAAGCGUGGGGAGCAAACAGGAUUAGAUACCCUGGUAG